UGCCUUCGGGUGCUAGUGGCGCACGGGUGCGUAACGCGUGGGAAUCUGCCCCUUGGUUCGGAAUAACAGUUGGAAACGACUGCUAAUACCGGAUGACGACGUAAGUCCAAAGAUUUAUCGCCGAGGGAUGAGCCCGCGUAGGAUUAGCUAGUUGGUGUGGUAAAGGCGCACCAAGGCGACGAUCCUUAGCUGGUCUGAGAGGAUGAUCAGCCACACUGGGACUGAGACACGGCCCAGACUCCUACGGGAGGCAGCAGUGGGGAAUAUUGGACAAUGGGCGCAAGCCUGAUCCAGCAAUGCCGCGUGAGUGAUGAAGGCCUUAGGGUUGUAAAGCUCUUUUACCCGGGAUGA
rnacentral:rRNA from 1 species